UGGAGAUGGUCCAAGUUGCUGUGUGC
rnacentral:piRNA from 1 species